rnacentral:rRNA from 1 species
UACGUAGGGUGCGAGCGUUGCCCGGAUUUAUUGGGCGUAAAGGGCGCGUAGGCGGCCACGCACGUCCGUUGUGAAAUCGCUCGGCUCAACUGGGCGGGGUCAGCGGAUACGGAGUGGCUGGAGCAAGCUAGGGGGCAAUGGAAUUCCCGGUGUAGUGGUGGAAUGCGUAGAACUCCGGAGGAACACCAGUGGCGAAGGCGGCCGCCUGGGCCAGUCCUGACGCUGAGCCGCGAAAGCGUGGGGAGCGAUCCGG